rnacentral:rRNA from 1 species
GACGAACGCUGGCGGCGUGCUUAACACAUGCAAGUCAAACGGAAAGGCCCUGCUUUUGUGGGGUGCUCGAGUGGCGAACGGGUGAGUAACACGUGAGUAACCUGCCCUUGACUUUGGGAUAACUUCAGGAAACUGGGGCUAAUACCGGAUAGGAGUUCCUGCUGCAUGGUGGGGGUUGGAAAGUUUCGGCGGUUGGGGAUGGACUCGCGGCUUAUCAGCUUGUUGGUGGGGUAGUGGCUUACCAAGGCUUUGACGGGUAGCCGGCCUGAGAGGGUGACCGGCCACAUUGGGACUGGGAUACGGCCCAGACUCCUACGGGAGGCAGCAGUGGGGAAUAUUGCACAAUGGGCGGAAGCCUGAUGCAGCAACGCCGCGUGCGGGAUGACGGCCUUCGGGUUGUAAACCGCUUUCGCCUGUGACGAAGCGUGAGUGACGGUAAUGGGUAAAGAAGCACCGGCUAACUACGUG